GACGAACGCUGGCGGCGUGCCUAAUACAUGCAAGUCGAGCGGAUCUUCAUUAGCUUGCUUUUGAAGAUCAGCGGCGGACGGGUGAGUAACACGUGGGCAACCUGCCUGUAAGACUGGGAUAACUUCGGGAAACCGGAGCUAAUACCGGAUAAUCCUUUCCCUCACAUGAGGGAAAGCUGAAAGACGGUUUCGGCUGUCACUUACAGAUGGGCCCGCGGCGCAUUAGCUAGUUGGUGAGGUAAUGGCUCACCAAGGCGACGAUGCGUAGCCGACCUGAGAGGGUGAUCGGCCACACUGGGACUGAGACACGGCCCAGACUCCUACGGGAGGCAGCAGUAGGGAAUCUUCCGCAAUGGACGAAAGUCUGACGGAGCAACGCCGCGUGAACGAUGAAGGCCUUCGGGUCGUAAAGUUCUGUUGUCAGGGAAGAACAAGUACCGGAGUAACUGCCGGUACCUUGACGGUACCUGACCAGAAAGCCACGGCUAACUACGUGCCAGCAGCCGCGGUAACAC
rnacentral:rRNA from 1 species